rnacentral:rRNA from 1 species
CGAACGGGUGAGUAAUGCGUGACCAACCUGCCCCAUGCUCCAGAAUAGCUCUUGGAAACGGGUGGUAAUGCUGGAUGCUCCAACUUGACGCAUGUCUUGUUGGGAAAGUGUUUAGUGGCAUGGGAUGGGGUCGCGUCCUAUCAGCUUGUAGGCGGGGUAAUGGCCCACCUAGGCUUCGACGGGUAGCCGGCCUGAGAGGGCGGACGGCCACAUUGGGACUGAGAUACGGCCCAGACUCCUACGGGAGGCAGCAGA